GCAGGUUCGUUCGCGUGGUCUUGUUACGCCUCGCUGGAUCGUGUACAGUCAUGCCGUCCUUGCGCGGCGUGAUUGUCGGUGAGUCAGGUUAAAUUCUUAAAUAGGUCGCGCCUGCGCCUAAUUGAGUCUAUAAAAGCCUGCACAUUCAGUUUUGCUAGCUACAAUGCAGUGCGGCUGGCGUGAGCUGUCUCCACGAUGCGCUUCGAGCGUGUCGAUUUCGCCGUUCUUUAUGUUGGCGUUAAGGACCUUGAAAGCAACAUGGAUCCACAAGAAAUGUGCGACAACAUCAAGGCCUUGAUUGUUCAACGAGACGGCCCCCGUCGUGCUGGUUUUCAAGGUGCUCCCUCGCUGCCUAGAAGAUGCUGAUGCGGAAUAGAAAAUGCAAAAACGUCGCUUGCUCAACCGCAAAUUGACGGCUACGCUGAAGCGCAUGCCGUGUCUGCGGAAUUUGAACCCCGAGCUUUCCAGAGUUCCUUGGAAAAUCCUCCCAUGCACCUGCCAUGUACAUUGCCCUCCUCCUCGAUGUGGCGUGCAAGAUGGCAGCAGCAGCUGUGGGAACAGUUGAAGAGGCGAAGAAAGGUCCACUUUAUAAUAGGUUGUAUGUAAAUAAAACUGAUCGACCUCAA